GACGAACGCUGGCGGCGUGCUUAACACAUGCAAGUCGAACGAAGAGCGAUGGAAGCUUGCUUCUAUCAAUCUUAGUGGCGAACGGGUGAGUAACGCGUAAUCAACCUGCCCUUCAGAGGGGGACAACAGUUGGAAACGACUGCUAAUACCGCAUACGAUCUAAUCUCGGCAUCGAGGAUAGAUGAAAGGUGGCCUCUAUGUAUAAGCUAUCACUGAAGGAUGGGAUUGCGUCUGAUUAGCUAGUUGGAGGGGUAACGGCCCACCAAGGCGAUGAUCAGUAGCCGGUCUGAGAGGAUGAACGGCCACAUUGGGACUGAGACACGGCCCAGACUCCUACGGGAGGCAGCAGUGGGGAAUCUUCCGCAAUGGACGAAAGUCUGACGGAGCAACGCCGCGUGAGUGAUGACGGCCUUCGGGUUGUAAAGCUCUGUUAAUCGGGACGAAAGGCCUUCUUGCGAAUAGUGAGAAGGAUUGACGGUACCGGAAUAGAAAGCCACGGCUAACUACGUG
rnacentral:rRNA from 1 species